rnacentral:rRNA from 1 species
AGAGCGAACGCUGGCGGCAGGCUUAACACAUGCAAGUCGAGCGGGCGUAGCAAUACGUCAGCGGCAGACGGGUGAGUAACGCGUGGGAACAUACCUUUUGGUUCGGAACAACCCAGGGAAACUUGGGCUAAUACCGGAUAAGCCCUUACGGGGAAAGAUUUAUCGCCGAAAGAUUGGCCCGCGUCUGAUUAGCUAGUUGGUGAGGUAACGGCUCACCAAGGCGACGAUCAGUAGCUGGUCUGAGAGGAUGAUCAGCCACAUUGGGACUGAGACACGGCCCAAACUCCUACGGGAGGCAGCAGUGGGGAAUAUUGGACAAUGGGCGCAAGCCUGAUCCAGCCAUGCCGCGUGAGUGAUGAAGGCCCUAGGGUUGUAAAGCUCUUUUGUGCGGGAAGAUAAUGACGGUACCGCAAGAAUAAGCCCCGGCUAACUUCGCGCCAGCAGCCGC